rnacentral:piRNA from 1 species
UAGUUACUAGCAUCUGUAUGGACUUCGA